UCCGGAGCGCAACACUUCCGGUCCACGGUGUGUUCGGGUUCCUGGCACGAGGGCGCGGGCUCCGUGCUAGUCGCCGAACCCGCGGCGCCCAGAAGGCAUCACAGCUGUGCCCUCGGGGAGCUUACGUGAAGUUAUAAACAAAUGCAAAUACAAUGUAAAGUCAAAAGAUGGCCGGUGUUUAAAAGGCGAGGGGCAUGGCGCUACGGAAGCCUAGAAUACAAUAUGGCCGGGUAGGGGGCGGUUUCCCAAUGGAAACAAUAUUUGAACUGAAGGCUGAAGAAUGAGUAGAUGAAAAGAGGAGGAAAGCUUUCAGGUAGAGGGAAACAGCAUCUGCGAAGACUCAGCGAAGAGGGACAGAAAUACUCGAGGGUGGGGAGGGGCGUUAAAAGGCAGGGCCAGGUCACGUGAGAGGUUUAAAAAAAUCUGAGCGUGGGUCACAUCCCCCGGUCACUCUUCCCUGCUUUUCCCUUCCACUUCCCUUACUAAAAUGUAAGCUCUAUUAGGCCGGAGGUUCAUUUGGUCUGUUAAUUUCUAAUGAACAGUGCCCUAAUGUAGUAGUUCAAAAAUUCUUUGUCGAAUGAACUUGAGUCUUAAGUCUGAUUGCAAUGGGAACGUGCUAAUAACAAAGCCUUUACAUAUUUAAGGGGGUCGCUUGGCUGUAUGGAAAAGAUAGAAGGAUGUAAGGAAAUAGGUAGGGAAACAAGCUGUUGGAAUUGCCCAUGCAAGGCAGGGCUGUAUUCUGUCCUGGGGUCACCUCGACAGAGACCUUUGUAGCCACUCUGUCCAAGGUAGCUACUGUUUUAGGAGAAGAGCAACAUGGUUUAAAGAGGGAUUAUGAUCCCCUUUUACAUAUGAGAAAUUGAGGCUCAUAGAGGUUGGUGAACCUGCUCAAGGUCCCCCACUGAGGAUCUCGUGACACUAGAAAUCUGAUAGUCCAAACACCUGGCAUUGUUGGGAAGGAUGGAGCUUCAAGUCCACCUCAGACCUGUGAGCCUAUGCUUUGAAAGGACAACCAAACAAGGCAUUUUAACAAAGAAGGAAAAUGAGAAGGUCAAGUCACUGCUCAAGGUCACACAGCUGCAUGUGCAGCAACCUGCUGCCAAACUGCAGCUAUAGAGAGAACUGACAGGGAACACGGCAGCAAAUGGCGUGCAGAGGAGCCCACUGCAGGCAGGGCUCAUGGAGGUCAUGGCCCUGGAUUUCACAAGAGGAUCCUUGAUGAGUGAAAACUUCCUUAGGGACUGAACCAGCAAGUGGAAUCACCUUUGGGAGCAGCUACCCUGGUUUGCCUUGAUGUGUCAGCACCACGGAGAGCAGCUUAUCUCACACCCCCACCCUGUAAUACUUAAGUCACUCGAACAGUGGUGAAGAAACAGACUAGUUGUUUCUAAUGGUUUCUUCAUCCGAAAAACACUGCUGGACUAGAUCCAUGAUUUCACACUGCCCUGCAAGGAGCCCUACGAUGCCACAGUGAUGGCCCACAGGCUACUGUACGGUGCAAAGGGGAGGUCAGGUGGGCGUCCUGACUCCAAUCAGAGCAGCUCCACUUUUCUCUCUCUCAUAAACUGGGCUUCAGUAUAAGACUGGAUUAGGAGAAAGGGUCUGUCUUUGGUUAUCUUUGUUGUUAGAUUUUUUUUUCUUUUGACAUUUUCUGAUUUCUUUAAUCUUACAUGCUUAUUUCCGUUUAGUUUUCCCUUUUAAAAUGGGCAUUCUCUAAGGCCCUGUAGUUCCAGUGCCCGUGAGAAUGGAGGGCAGGGAAUGUUUCACAACAACCCUCUAAUUGUUCGGAGGGGAAGCUCAGACCUGGAAGAAGGGACUUUUCCAAAGUUACAUAGCAAUUGAGUGAUCACGUGAGGAAUGGGAUGCAGGUCUCCUGACCCCCAGAAGAGAUUAUCUGUACGAAUGAAAUGGAGCUAUAGUAAAGAAAAGUGUUUUAAAAAAUAAAUCUUCAAAAAGCAAGGAGAAGUUGACUUUAUUCAGGUACCUGGGGAAGAAAGUUAAAGCAACGAAUAAAAGACUCUUGGAACAUGCUGUCCUGCAGGAAGCUGGCUUGCUCAUAAAGAUAAAUGAAUGGGAGCAGAAAUUAGUGUUGGAAGUGGAACAGAGCUCGCCACAGAGUUGUCUGGCAUGCUUGGUCAUUAUCGUGAAUGUGUCAAUCAGGCAGUUCCCCGAGCCCCUCUGGGGUGCUGGGCAGAGCUCAGGCUGGGACACACAGGGGAGCCGCGCCUUGCAGGGGACCUGCCUCAAGGGUAUUUGGAGGGGUUCAGUUCUCCACUUAUUAUGCCAGAUCAGAAACUAUAAAUUGCUAGCCUCUGGAACAGGCACAGCUUGAAGAUGAUAUAUGUAUAUCUCCUAACUCAGCAUUAAAAUUUUUAAUAGCUGCUAAUAUUAAAAAAUAUGUGGAUUUCA